rnacentral:rRNA from 1 species
UACGUAGGGUGCAAGCGUUAAUCGGAAUUACUGGGCGUAAAGCGUGUGCAGGCGGUGAUGUAAGACAGAUGUGAAAUCCCCGGGCUCAACCUGGGAACUGCAUUUGUGACUGCAUCGCUGGAGUGCGGCAGAGGGGGAUGGAAUUCCGCGUGUAGCAGUGAAAUGCGUAGAUAUGCGGAGGAACACCGAUGGCGAAGGCAAUCCCCUGGGCCUGCACUGACGCUCAUGCACGAAAGCGUGGGGAGCAAACAGG